AGAGUUUGAUCAUGGCUCAGGACGAACGCUUGCGGCGUGCCUAAGAAAUGCAAGUCGAACGGGGCAGGGGCUUCGGCCCUUGUUCAGUGGCGAACGGUCGCGUAACACGUAGGCAACCUGCCCUAAAGUGGGGGAUAACAGCCUGAAAGGGCUGCUAAUACCGCAUGUGGUCAUCUUCUCGCAUGGGGGGAUGUCCAAAGGCUUCAGCAAUGGAGUCGCUUUGGGAUGGGCUUGCGGCCUAUCAGCUUGUUGGUGGGGUAACGGCCUACCAAGGCGUUGACGGGUAGCUGGUCUGAGAGGACGAUCAGCCGGAUUGGGACUGAGAUACGGCCCAGACUCCUACGGGGGGCAGCAAUUAGGAAUCUUGCGCAAUGGGGGCAACCCUGACGCAGCGACGCCGCGUGCGGGAUGAAGGCAUUCGUGUCGUAAACCGCUUUUGAAUGGGAAGAAGAAUGUGACGGUACCAUUCGAAUAAGCCCCGGCUAACUACGUGCCAGCAGCCGCGGUAAUACGUAGGGGGCGAGCGUUGUCCGAAGUUACUGGGCGUAAAGAGCGCGUAGGCGGUCUUUUAAGUCUGGUGUGAAAGGUUCAGGGCUCAACCCGAACAGUGCACUGGAUACUGGGAGACUUGAGUGCGGGAGAGGAGAGUGGAAUUCCUGGUGUAGCGGUGAAAUGCGUAGAUAUCAGGAGGAACACCCGUGGCGAAGGCGGCUCUCUGGCCUGCAACUGACGCUGAGGCGCGAAAGCGUGGGGAGCGAACGGGAUUAGAUACCCCCGUAGUCC
rnacentral:rRNA from 1 species